UGGUUUAAUGCGCCAACCCAUUAAACCACAAGACAAAUAAAGAACUAUCGGACCCUUCAAUACACUGCCCGAGAUUUGAAAAGGAAACCAAUAGAUAAGGAAAGGUUACCAUCUGAAAAAAAAAAAAAAAAACCAAACACAAAAUUAUGUCCUUUCUUUCCUCCUAAACCGAAGAAAACUAGUCGAAAACCUCUCUCUGAUCCAAGCUUCAAAACGCUGGUGCAUGAACAAACUAUUGAUAUCAAAAGAGAGAGAAGAGCUUGGGAAAACAUUUGGAGGUCCCUUCCGGCAGCCCGUUCCACCAUCAACGACGCUUCCUCAAUCUAGUACCACAAGAUCAAGAAUUGACAACCUUCUCCAGCCAGUGUGUGAGCGGCGGUGCUAGCUUGUCUUUCAGCAAAACAAAAGGUGACUCUUGCAAAUAUCUCCAAUUUUGCCUUAAUAUCUCGAGCAAUCGGGCUAAGGAUAGACUUGUCUGGUGUUUAAGUAAAUUUCUUAAUGACAGUAAGUGAAUCGCCCUCCACUGUACCGAUCGAAAUCCUAGCUCAACCGCAAAGAUGAUGGCUUGCUCACAUGCCUGUGCUUCGGCAAUGAAGGCGUCAGCAACACCAUAGUAGGGAUAAGUACAUAUACAACCAUAAUAAGAUCUGAAAAAUUUCUAGCCAUAAUAAUUUUUAUUAUUUCAAACUUCAUUUAUCAAUUCUUUUAAUUUAAAAUUUUAGAAUAGUGUAAUAGCAAUUAUCUGCUUUAAAAAUUAAACAUUUAUAUUCAAAUAAAUGAUUGAAUAAAUUAAAAAUUUUCUGACUCAAAUAAGAAAAAUAACAUUCUUUCAAGCAUUUUAAUAAAAUAUUAUAAAUAAAAAAAUAUGUUAGUCAUUAUGUUGUAUUAAAAUCCUCAAUUAUGGACACAUACGAGUAAUGUAUAACGUUAUUAUAAAGUGUGAUACAAAAUUAAGUAAUAAAUUAUGUUAUAAGUGUCAUAGGUAUUAAAUUGUCAUGGAAAUAAUAUGUAGAUACUAUAAGUUGUAUUUAUAAUUUGAUGAGGGCUAAAUUAUAAAUAUCUAAAAUUGAUUAAAUAAUCAGUUAUUUUAAAACGAGGUAGUGAUCCCCAAGAAAUAGAUAAAUAACAAGUAUUAUUUCUUUUCUAUCCCCAUGAGAGGGAAUAUACUAAGAGAGAAAACUAUUUUCUUGGAAGAUCAAAACCUUCUGGAUAAUCUCCAACAAUGUAUUCAGAUUUUUAUGGUUCUAAUAAGUGGUAUCCGAACCUCGUCAUGUUGAAUCAUUGGGAAUUGAUUUCGCCAAGUUAGCUCGGGGCCCGGAAGACGUCGGAGGCAUGAUCACACUAUCAACUGAACAUUUGGGUAUAGCUAGCCUUAUUAUUUUGAGUACGACUUGUAUAGGGACUUGACAUUUUGUUAUGUGUCAUAUUGAUCAGCCAAUGUGUUGGCUUAUGAUGUUAUUAUGAUCAUUUUGUAUAUGGCCAUGAGAGGUAGCUCAUAUUAAUUAUUUGAGUUGUAACCCUAAUUAUAGAUUCAUGCAUGAAAAUGUGCUUGUGCUUUAAUGUGGUUAUAGUUGUUUAUGGUUAA